rnacentral:lncRNA from 1 species
AACCAGCGAAACGUCCUCACCACCUGCAGUAGAAAAUGAAGGAACAAAAGCAUGAAACGGUGCAGAUAACAAAUGCAAAAAUUGCACGCCAUAGAUGUGGAGGAAAAAAGGCACUGAUCAUGUACUUGCUCUAUGCCAAAACACUUGAUUGAGCUUUAUCAAGUCUCCCUAAAUAAGACAAAUAAAAAUACUUAAGCAAAUUUGAUUUCUAAAGUUAUUUUAGACUUUAUGCAUUCUGAUGUACCUGAUUAUUUUACACUCCCUGAAGAAGAAUCAAAUCAUAUGAUCGGCAAUGAAUCUAUAGAAAUGUAAAUACUUUAUUGUUAUUUGUAGUAGAUAGUAUUGUUAUGUAAUUAUUGUACAUAAAUAAAAGUUAUACUUUCAUAGUGAUAUUUACAAUAAUAUUUAUUUUGUUUAUGUCAUUUUGAAGAAUAUGGAUAAUCCUCAAAUUAUGUUUGGAUAAAAGAUCAAUCAUAAAGAUAUUUGUGUAAUUAAUAGUGGAACAACUCAUGGCAUAUUAGAAAACUAGAAAUAUUUGUCUUAUUUGCAUAAGAAAAAAGCAAAUGUUUCAAAAAUUUCUAGUAAUAGAAGUUUGAUUUAAGGCUCCGGAAGAGCCACUAUAUUUCUAUCUAGAGUAACAAAACUUAUUACAGACACUGUAUUAUUCUCUUUCAAGUCUUGAAAAACUUGUUGAGUUUUAUAGAUAUCCGCUGAAAUGGGCAUUAUGUUGAGACGAUAGAUGAAAUGAAUAUGAAAUAUGUUUGUAUUACGAAGAAUGUUUCUAUACAAAAGUGCAUUAUAGAAAAUUUGCUAACUUUAUCUUAUGGCUUAUACUAUUCAAAGAUUAGUAUAGUUGAACCACACUCUAUCGUAAACUAGAUGUCUACUAAUUCAAAUAUUUUUAUGCUUUGCAUGGGCAUUUGGACCAUCCUGGAUCAAUAAUGACGAGAUGAAUUAUUGAAAAUUCUAAUUGGGCAUCCAUUAAAGAACCUAAAGAUUCUUACAAAUUAAGAAUUUUCUUGUAAUGCUUGUUAUCAAGGCAAAAUAAUCACUAGACCGUCACCAACAAAGGAUGGCAUUGAAUCCUCUGGUUUUUUAGAACGAAUACAUAGGGAUAUAUGUGGACAUAUUCACCAACCAAGUGGACUGUUUAGAUAUUUUGUGGUCCUAGUAGAUUCAUCUUCACGAUGGUCUCAUAUGUGCCUACUAUCAUCUUGCAACCUGAUGUUUGCAAAGCUAUUAGCCCAAAUAAUUCGAUUAAGGGUACAGUUCUCAGAUUAUCUAUAAAGGCUAUUCGCAUUGAUAAUGCUGGAGAAUUCUCAUCUCAAGCUUUUGAUGAUUAUUGUCUGUCAGUUGGGAUAAAAGUUGAACAUCUUGUAGCUUAUAUUCAUACUCAAUAUGGCCUUACAGAGUCAUUUAUUAAACGCCUAAAAUUGGUAGCAAAUCCACUACUCAUGAAAACAAAAUUGCCCAUUACUGUUUGAGGCCAUGAUAUGUUACAUGCAACAUCACUUAUCUAUCUCAAUCCGUUACAGUAUAAUAAAUAUUCUCUGUCACAAUUAGAUUUCUGUUGUGAACCACAUAUUUCCCUUCUAUGAAUUUGUGGAUGUGAUGUAUAUGUGCCAGUAGAACCACCUCAGUGUAGUAAGAUGGUCCCACAGAGAAGGUUAGGAAUAUAUAUUGAGUUUGAAUCAUCCUCUAUUAUUUUCUAUCUUGAACCAUUGAUAGGAGAUUUAUUUACGGCUCAAUUAGCAGAUUGACGGUUUGAUGAAAUAAAUUUUCAAUAAUUAGGGGGAGAGUAAAAGGAAAUCAAAAGAUAAAUUAUGUGAUAAGUUUCAUCAUUAUCUCAUUUUGAUUUGUGUGCCUCUAUAUGUAAUCAAGGGGUCCAAAAGAUCAUCCAUUUCCAAAAUAUUUCAAAUCAAAUGCCAACUCAUUUACUGAUUUAAAAAGGAUAACUAGAUGACAUAUCCCUGCAGAUAAUGUGCAUAUCCAAAUUUAUGUCCUGGCAGGGCCAUCAACUAGCAUAUGAGCUAGUGAACCUAAAGUACGCCUAAAGCGUAGUAGGCCUUUGGGUUCAAAGGAUUGAAAUCCUCGAAAAAAGAAAAUCGACAGAUGAUCAAAACGAUAAUAUUUAUGGAUCUCCUGAAGAGACCCAAAAUUUAAUUGGUUCUGAGAUUCCUGGAGAAAUCACUGAACUCGAAGCUCAAGUGACUGGGGAAAUUUUAAUAAGUUCUAUCGAUGAUGGGAUUAAUUUAAAUCAAUAUGAAAUAGUGAUACAUAAUAUUUUUGCAUAUAAUAUUAUACUUUAUAUUAUGCAAGAUAGUGAGGAUCUUGAACUUUGAAUUGUCGAAAAAUAUCGACAAAGAUCUGAUUGGCCAAAAUGAAAGGAGGCAAGUCAUUCAGUAUUGAAUGCACUUGCUAAAAGAGGGGUCUUUAGACCAGUAGUCCAAACGACUGUUGGUAUAAAACCAGUUGGUCAUAAAUAGGUUUUUGUGCAAAAAAGGGAAUGAUAAAAAUGAAAUUGAAAGAUACAAAGCUCAUCUUAUUGCACAAGGAUUCUCACAAUGACCUGGAGUCGAUUUUGAUAAAAAUAAUCACCUGUUAGGGAUAUCAUAGCAUUUUUAUAGCUCAUCAGUUUAGCAGUGCAUGAAAAGCUUGAAAUACAUCUAAUGGAUGUAGUUACAGCUUAUCUGUAUGGUUCACUUGAUAAUGAAAUUUAUAUGAAAAUUCAUGAAGGAUUUAAAAUGCCUGAAGCGAAUUCAAAAUCUCAGGAAACGUAUCCAAUUAGAUUAAAAAGAUCUUUGUACAGUUUAAAGCACAUGAAAAAUCUUGAAGGAUUAAAAAUGCGUGAAGCAAAUUUAAAACCUUGAAAAAUGUAUACAAUUAGAUUAAAAAGAUCUUUGUACGGUUAAAAGCAAUCUGGACAUAUGUGGUAUAAUCGCCUUAGUGAAUAUUUGCUGAAAGAGGGUAGCAUAAAUGAUGUUAUUUGUCCAUGUAUUUUUAAUAAAGAAAAUGGCAUCAGAGUUUGUUAUAAUUGCAGUUUAUGUUGAUGACAUAAAUCUGCUUGGACUCUAAAAGAUCUCCAAAAGGAAAUUGAAUAUCUUAAGAAAGAAUUUAAGAUGAAAGAUCUUGGAAAGACAAAAUUUUGUCUUGGUCUAUAAAUCGAGCAUUUAGCAGAUGGGAUCUAUAUCCAUCAAUUUUCUCUUAAAAUAUUUUACAUGGAAAAAGCACACCCAUUGUCACACCUCCUUUUUACACACCUACCCCGAAAGUAUAAAUGUAUAAGGGAGUUUUUCCAUUUAAAGUGACAUUACUCAAAAUGAAAUUAUUUAUUUCAGAGUCGCCACUUGGGAUAGGUUUUGGUCUUUUGGUGUCCCAAGUCACCUGUUUACCUUUAAUCCCAAAUCGAGGAAAUUUUUGACUUUCCAAAUGAAGUCUGAGAACCAGAAAUUCUUGAGUAAGGAAUUCUGUUAACCCGAGGGAAGGUGUUAGGCACCCUCGGAUUCCGUGGUUCUAGCAUGGUCGCUUCAACUAUUAUAAAUGGCUUAAUAUAUGAUUUUAAUACAUGUCAUCUUAUAGUGCAAUUUUAUAAUUACUUACCGCUAUUAGUUAAAUUUUUGAGAAAAUUGAACGUCGUUUAAAACAUGUUUUUGGAUCACGUCACAUGAAAUAUACAUGGAUCCUUGAUACAUUUAUUCAACAUUUUGGGAUUUGGAUUUGGGUCACAUGAAAUGCACACCCAAAAUUUUGAAAUUAAAGUAAUUAAAUAACGCACCUAAAGCAACUAGUGUAUUGAUAUCUUCACGUGAAACCGUGGAAAUUUGCUAAAUGGCUUACCCGAUUUCUAAAUAAUUUUUAUAUAGGUAAUGAAAGAGGGCCACGCAAUUUGUGAUUUUAUUUGGCGCGGCACGCCUCACUUAUUUUUAUAGGCCACCCUAGAAUUAACUAUUAUUCUCGAUUAGUGAUCGUCUCUAAAGACCUAAUUAAUUCCGAAUUAAUCGUUAUUUAAAGCAAUAAAAAGUUCGGACCUCAAGAUCAAGUCCGAACUUAAACAAAAGUAUCCUCGUUAUUGAGGACCUUUUAAUUCAAGUUUGCUACUUAACUUGGGAGGCCUAAUACUUGCAUUAUAAAUUUAAAACAAUGGCUUUAGUAAUGUCAUUAGCAUAUUGGGCUUCAAAAUUGGCCCAAAAAGAUUGAGAAUCCAUUCAACCUUAUAUAAGGCUACAUAGCGUUGGGCUCAGCUGUAGAGCUACUCGAUAUUUUGGGCCCUUAAGCACAUGUCUGAUUUUAUUAAAACAACAGCUUCUUAUUUGCACUUCUUUGGUCUAAAAUGAGCCCAAACCAACAUGGGAGUUCCAUAAGAUUUUAAAACAUUAAAUUUGUUUUCAAAGCUGGUUCUUAUGCACUUUCAACAGUGUUUGCAUUCUGAUGAACUGAUGUGAGCAUACUAAGGUUCAACAACCAUUCAACUUCAACUAAUACACCUCAAAAUUACAUAUAGACAAAAAUUAAAUGGAAUAGCUAGCAUAUUCAGACUAUUCACAUGAAACAAAAAUACUUCACAUUGUUUGUACACAAUUUCCAUUGUGAAUUAUAAACCUGCAACACCAUUAUAGACUCACAAUUCAAGGUGACAGGGUACCAAAUCCAGGAUUCACUACACGAAAGUUAACAUGAUACUUAAGUCGUUCUGAACAUAGUUUAACAGUUUUGUUAAUACAAAUAAUGCAAUGUUCAAAUGCACAAUUAUGCUAAACCUCUAGACUAAGUAUAAAUAGCAGGGAACUCAUGAAGGAGAAAAUAAAAAGGGUAAAAUAAUUCAUAAAUUUUAUUCAAAUCUGCUGGUCCAAUCUUUACAUAACAUUCGAAACCAAAAAUAUACCUGGAAUUUGAAUCAAAAUAAGAAGAAGGAAGAAGUCAGCAUCAGUAAACAGUAGCCAACAGCAAAUCAACAGCAUCUUUGCAUUAAUUUUGCCCCAGAAAUGAUAUCUCAAUAGACCAGCAGUUAAUUUCAAAUGAACAACAUCAGUGAACACCCAAAGCCAUAUCGAAUGAACUCAAACAAACCCACAAAUGACCAGGUAUGAUAACCACAAUUACUGAAACAAGACUAUUCAAUCCAUUUUUCAACCUUAUUCAAACUGGAAAAUGAAUUUCAGAACCUGAAUCAUCGAGAUUACUCUACAAAUUCAAUGGGACAGUGAUUUUAGGAGUUUUAGGCUAUCUGAACUUUUCAAUAUAUUUUCAGUGCUUCCUUACUCUUUUCAGAGCUC